GGAUGUGAGAGUGAUCUGGCUGAGACAACUGUCACUCCAUUGAUUGUUAGGGUUGAUUUGGCUGAUGUGACUGGCUAGGCGGGUGUCUCCUUUCUCCCUCACCACUCCAUGUGCGUCCCUCCCUAAGUUGUAUGCUAGGUCCAAGAGGACUGGUCUUCAGUCGAGGGUAUACGAGUAGCUGCACUCCCCUGCUAGAACCUCCAAACAAGCUCUCCAGUGGUGCUGAAUACAAAGAAAGGUGAUGCUGUGCAUUCUCACUCACUUUUUUUCUUUGCCUCCUCAUUGACCAAGUGCUUUAAAUGUAAGU
rnacentral:snRNA from 1 species